rnacentral:miRNA from 1 species
GUAGGUAUGGGGAGAGGACGGGGAGUUGACAGUUUCCGAAUCCUUCCGUCUGUGCUCGCUUACCCUUCCUAGGCAAGGC